AUUGAACGCUGGCGGCAGGCCUAACACAUGCAAGUCGAGCGGAUGAAGGGAGCUUGCUCCCUGGAUUCAGCGGCGGACGGGUGAGUAAUGCCUAGGAAUCUGCCUGGUAGUGGGGGAUAACGUCCGGAAACGGGCGCUAAUACCGCAUACGUCCUGAGGGAGAAAGUGGGGGAUCUUCGGACCUCACGCUAUCAGAUGAGCCUAGGUCGGAUUAGCUAGUUGGUGGGGUAAAGGCCUACCAAGGCGACGAUCCGUAACUGGUCUGAGAGGAUGAUCAGUCACACUGGAACUGAGACACGGUCCAGACUCCUACGGGAGGCAGCAGUGGGGAAUAUUGGACAAUGGGCGAAAGCCUGAUCCAGCCAUGCCGCGUGUGUGAAGAAGGUCUUCGGAUUGUAAAGCACUUUAAGUUGGGAGGAAGGGCAGUAAGUUAAUACCUUGCUGUUUUGACGUUACCAACAGAAUAAGCACCGGCUAACUUCGUGCC
rnacentral:rRNA from 1 species